GAUGAACGCUAGCGGCGUGGAUAAGGCAUGCAAGUCGAACGGUCCGCUUCGGCGGACAGUGGCGAACGGGUUAGUAACACGUAGAUAUCAACCGUCAACACAGGUAUAACCCAUUGAAAGAUGGGCUAAUUCCUGAUAGUCCCGCCCUCGGGCGGGUAAAGGUUUUCGCAAGAAUUCCGGUUGACGAUGAGUCUGCGGCCUAUCAGCUAGUUGGUGAGGUAAUGGCUCACCAAGGCAAUGACGGGUAGGGGGCAUGAGAGUGUGUUCCCCAACAAUGGAACUGCGACACGGUCCAUACUCCUACGGGAGGCAGCAGUCGAGAAUAUUCGACAAUGGGCGCAAGCCUGAUCGAGCGACGCCGCGUGCAGGAAGACGCUCUUCGGAGUGUAAACUGCUUUUCUGGAGGAAGAACCCGCCUCGGGCGGGUGACGGUACUCCAGGAAUAACGGGGAUGCUAAUCACGUGCCAGCAGACAGCGGUAAAUACGUGAUCCCAAAGUGUUCAUCCCGGCAUUUAUUGGGCGUAAAGGGUCCGUAGGCGGUUGGGUAAUGUCUUUGGUUAAAUACCCGUGGCUCAACUAUGGGAAUGCCCAAAGAAACUACUCAACUAGAGGGCGCUAGAGGCUGGUGGAACGGUCGGUGUAGGAGUGAAAUCCGUUGAUAUCGACCGGAAUACCAAAAGCGAAGGCAUCCAGCUGGAGCGACCCUGACGCUGAGGGACGAAAGCUAGGGGAGAAAAAAGGAUUAGAUACCCUUGUAUUCCUAGCUGUAAACGAUGGACACUGGCUAUUUGAAGUGUCGACCCUUCAAGUGGCGAAGCUAACGCGUUAAGUGUCCCGCCUGGGAAGUACGGCGGCAACGCUAAAACUCAAAGGAAUAGACGGGGCUUUACACAAGCGGUGGACCAUGUGGCUCAAUUCGACAAUAAGCGAGGAACCUUACCAGGACUUGACAGACUAGUGAAAGGUUGCCGAAAGGCAGCCCUACCCACAAGGACGCUAGCCCAGGUGCUGCACGGUUGUCGUCAGCAUGUGCCUUGAGGUGCACCCUUAAAUGGGGUAACAUGCGCAACCCUUAUCCUAUGUUUUAUAUGUCAUAGGAAACUGCCCGAGAUAAUUGGGAGGAAGGUGAGGAUGACGCCAAAUCAGCGUGGCCCUUUGAUGUCCUGGGCUGCACACGUGGUACAAUGGGGCCGACAAUGGGCGAAGCCGCAAGGCAGAGGUAAUCCCAUCAAACGGUCUCUUAGUUCGGAUUGGGGUCUGCAACCCGACCCCAUGAAGCCGGAAUCGCUAGUAAUCGCCAAUCAGCCAUGUGGCGAUGAAUAUGUUCCUGAAGCUUGUACUCACCGCCCGUCACA
rnacentral:rRNA from 1 species